rnacentral:rRNA from 1 species
AUUGAACGCUGGCGGCAGGCUUAACACAUGCAAGUCGAGCGGGGUGAUGGUGCUUGCACUAUCACUUAGCGGCGGACGGGUGAGUAAUGCUUAGGAAUCUGCCUAUUAGUGGGGGACAACAUCUCGAAAGGGAUGCUAAUACCGCAUACGUCCUACGGGAGAAAGCAGGGGAUCACUUGUGACCUUGCGCUAAUAGAUGAGCCUAAGUCGGAUUAGCUAGUUGGUGGGGUAAAGGCCUACCAAGGCGACGAUCUGUAGCGGGUCUGAGAGGAUGCUCCGCCACACUGGGACUGAGACACGGCCCAGACUCCUACGGGAGGCAGCAGUGGGGAAUAUUGGACAAUGGGGGGAACCCUGAUCCAGCCAUGCCGCGUGUGCGAAGAAGGCCUUAUGGUUGUAAAGCACUUUAAGCGAGGAGGAGGCUCUUUUGGUUAAUACCCAAGAUGAGUGGACGUUACUCGCAGAAUAAGCACCGGCUAACUCUGUGCCAGCCGCCGCGGUAA